UCAACCAUCAAGCCUGGCUUGUCGUUGGACCCCUUGUUGCUGAAAUAUGUGGCAGGUCCGAAAGAUAAUGACGGCGUCGUGUUUGACCCUAGAUGCAACGAGCUUUUUAGCACGCAUUGAAGUGGUCGGCCGACCCGGUCUUUAACCAUCAUUUUCUAA
rnacentral:misc_RNA from 1 species